GAUAGAGCCGAACAGUGCUAAGCAACGCAGCACUAAAAGGCAAUAAGCUUAGUGCCCUUUCAAAAUCUUUCACUUCCUUUCCAAAAGUCAGCCCCAUCAGUUCGUUUAACUGGAAACAAUUUUCUCUAAAUUCUAUAAAAAAAAAAUUAAGCUCUCCAAAGAUGCCUGCAAUGAACAACAACCAGCCAACCCUUCUGCAAUUCAUCUGGGCCAACAAAAGGCACAUCAUGCUUUCCUUGAUGAUGUUUUUGCUUUCAUUAGGGAUGGCCGUGUGGGAUUGGGACAGCGUCUUCGCGGAGGAGCUCGUUAAACGAGUGCCCUUGCAGUGGGCGGGAAACUUCGCAUGGAACCACUGGAGCACAUUGAUGCUCUUCGGACUCCUCUUCACCGGCAUGAUCUUCGCCGUGCUCAAUCAGAGACGCCAUCGCGUAAUCAACUUGAACCGAGUGGGCAGGGCUCGCCGUUAAAUGUGAGGGGCUACGCUAAAUAAACAUAUCAACAAAUAAAGGCGACUGCACCAGUUCAACCCUUCCUAA